CAGUAGCCGCGGGAAUACGUAGGGUGCAAGCGUUGUCCGGAAUUAUUGGGCGUAAAGAGCUCGUAGGCGGUUUGUCGCGUCUGCUGUGAAAUCCCGAGGCUCAACCUCGGGCUUGCAGUGGGUACGGGCAGACUAGAGUGCGGUAGGGGAGAUUGGAAUUCCUGGUGUAGCGGUGGAAUGCGCAGAUAUCAGGAGGAACACCGAUGGCGAAGGCAGAUCUCUGGGCCGUAACUGACGCUGAGGAGCGAAAGCGUGGGGAGCGAACAGGAUUAGAUACCCCCGUAGUCCCUGUCUCUUAUAA
rnacentral:rRNA from 1 species